UACGAGGGGGGCAAGCGUUGUUCGGAAUUAUUGGGCGUAAAGGGUGCGUAGGCGGUUUGGUAAGUCUUAUGUGAAAUCUACAGGCUCAACUUGUAGUCUGCAUGAGAAACUGCCGGGCUUGAGUAUGGGAGAGGUGAGUGGAAUUCCUGGUGUAGCGGUGGAAUGCGUAGAUAUCAGGAGGAACACCUGUGGCGAAAGCGGCUCACUGGACCAUAACUGACGCUGAUGCACGAAAGCUAGGGGAGCAAACAGG
rnacentral:rRNA from 1 species